rnacentral:rRNA from 1 species
GCUACGGGUGGCAGCAGUGGGGAAUAUUGGACAAUGGGGGGAACCCUGAUCCAGCCAUGCCGCGUGUGUGAAGAAGGCCCUCGGGUUGUAAAGCACUUUCAGUGAGGAAGAACGCCUGGUGGUUAAUACCCAUCAGGAAAGACAUCACUCACAGAAGAAGCACCGGCUAACUCCGUGCCAGCAGCCGCGGUAAUACGGAGGGUGCGAGCGUUAAUCGGAAUUACUGGGCGUAAAGCGCGCGUAGGUGGCUUGAUAAGCCGGUUGUGAAAGCCCCGGGCUCAACCUGGGAACGGCAUCCGGAACUGGCCAGGUAGAGAGCAGGAGAGGAAGGUAAAAAUCCAGGAGUAGCGGUGAAAUGCGUAGAGAUCGGGAGGAAUACCAGUGGCGAAGGCGGCCUUCUGGACUGACACUGACACUGAGGUGCGGAAGCGUGGGUAGCAAACAGGAUUAGAUACCCUGGGAGUC